UACGUAGGCAGCAAGCGUUGUUCGGAAUUACUGGGCGUAAAGAGUGUGUAGGCGGUGCUCUAAGUUCGGUGUGAAAUCUCCCGGCUCAACUGGGAGGGUGCGCCGGAAACUGGAGUGCUGGAGCGCGGGAGAGGAAAGCGGAAUCCUGGUGUAGCGGUGAAAUGCGUAGAUAUCAGGAGGAACACCGGCGGUGUAGACGGCUUUCUGGACCGUAGCUGACGCUGGAGACACGAAAGCGUGGGUAGCAAACAGG
rnacentral:rRNA from 1 species